UAACAGAGAAUAGCUUGCUAUUUUGCUGACGAGUGGCGGACGGGUGAGUAAUGCUUGGGAACUUGCCCUAACGUGGGGGACAACAGUUGGAAACGACUGCUAAUACCGCAUAAUGUCUUCGGACCAAAGGUGGCCUCUAUUUAUAAGCUAUCGCGUUAGGAUGGGCCCAAGUGGGAUUAGCUAGUUGGUAAGGUAAUGGCUUACCAAGGCGACGAUCCCUAGCUGGUCUUAGAGGAUGACCAGCCACACUGGAACUGAGACACGGUCCAGACUCC
rnacentral:rRNA from 2 species